GAUGAACGCUAGCUACAGGCUUAACACAUGCAAGUCGAGGGGAAACGACAUCGAAAGCUUGCUUUUGAUGGGCGUCGACCGGCGCACGGGUGAGUAACGCGUAUCCAACCUGCCCAUCACUUGGGGAUAACCUUGCGAAAGUAAGACUAAUACCCAAUGAUAUCUCUAGAAGACAUCUGAAGGAGAUUAAAGAUUUAUCGGUGAUGGAUGGGGAUGCGUCUGAUUAGCUUGUUGGCGGGGUAACGGCCCACCAAGGCAACGAUCAGUAGGGGUUCUGAGAGGAAGGUCCCCCACAUUGGAACUGAGACACGGUCCAAACUCCUACGGGAGGCAGCAGUGAGGAAUAUUGGUCAAUGGGCGAGAGCCUGAACCAGCCAAGUAGCGUGCAGGAAGACGGCCCUAUGGGUUGUAAACUGCUUUUAUAAGGGAAUAAAGUGAGAGUCGUGACUCUUUUUGUAUGUACCUUAUGAAUAAGGACCGGCUAAUUCCGUG
rnacentral:rRNA from 1 species